rnacentral:rRNA from 1 species
GAUGAACGCUGGCGGCGUGCCUAAUACAUGCAAGUCGAGCGAACGGACGAGAAGCUUGCUUUUCUGAUGUUAGCGGCGGACGGGUGAGUAACACGUGGAUAACCUACCUAUAAGACUGGGAUAACUUCGGGAAACCGGAGCUAAUACCGGAUAAUAUUUUGAACCGCAUGGUUCAAAAGUGAAAGACGGUCUUGCUGUCACUUAUAGAUGGAUCCGCGCUGCAUUAGCUAGUUGGUAAGGUAACGGCUUACCAGGGCAACGAUGCAUAGCCGACCUGAGAGGGUGAUCGGCCACACUGGAACUGAGACACGGUCCAGACUCCUACGGGAGGCAGCAGUAGGGAAUCUUCCGCAAUGGGCGAAAGCCUGACGGAGCAACGCCGCGUGAGUGAUGAAGGUCUUCGGAUCGUAAAACUCUGUUAUUAGGGAAGAACAUAUGUGUAAGUAACGGUGCACAUCUUGACGGUACCUAAUCAGAAAGCCACGGCUAACUACGU